AACGAACGCUGGCGGCAUGCUUAACACAUGCAAGUCGAACGAGGCAAUCGGGUUUAGUGGCGCAUGGGUGUGUAACGCGUGGGAACCUGCCCUUGGGUUCGGAAUAUCUCCCUGAAAGGGGUGCUCAUACCGGAUAAUGUCUUCGGACCUAAGAUUGAUUGUCUUUGGUUGGGCGUGCGUUUGAUUAGCUAGUUGGUAGUGUAAUAGCCUAUCAAGGUGACUAUCCAUAGCUGGUCUGUUAGGAUGACCAGCCACGCUGGGACUGAGACACGGCCCAGACUGCUACGGGAAGCAGCAGUAGAUAAUACUAGACAAGGGGCGCAAGUCUGGUCCAGCAAUGCCGCGGGAGUGAUGAAGGCCUUAGGGUUGUAAAGCUCUUUUACCCGGGAUGAUAAUGACAGUACCGGGAGAAUAAGCUCCGGCUAACUCCGUG
rnacentral:rRNA from 1 species